CCUACGGGUGGCAGCAGUGAGGAAUAUUGGUCAAUGAGCGGGAGCCUGAACCAGCCAAGUCGCGUGAGGGAUGACGGCCCUAUGGGUUGUAAACCUCUUUUGCCGGGGAGCAAAAUUCCGCACGUGUGCGGUUUGGUGAGUACCCGGAGAAAAAGCAUCGGCUAACUCCGUUCCAGCAGCCGCGGUAAUACGGGGGAUGCGAGCGUUAUCCGGAUUUAUUGGGUUAAAAGGGUUCGUAGUCGGACGUUUACGUCAGCGGUAAAAUUGCGGGGAUCAACCUCGCUGCGCCGUUGAAACUGGCGUUCUUGAGUGGGCUAGAAGUAUGCGGAAUGCGUGGGGUAGCGGUGAAAUGCAUAGAUAUCACGCAGAACUCCGAUUGCGAAGGCAGCAUACCGGCGCCCAACUGACGCUGGGGCACGAAAGCGUGGGUAUCGAACAGGAUUAGAUACCCGAGUAGUC
rnacentral:rRNA from 1 species